GGUCAAGCGAUGAAGCGCAUACGGUGGAUGCCUAGGCAGCCAGAGGCGAUGAAGGACGUGGAAGCCUGCGAUAAGGUUCGGCGAGGUGGCAAACAACCUGCGACCCGGACAUUUCCGAAUGGGGAAACCCACCCAGGGCAACCUGGGUAUCCCGCACUGAAUCCAUAGGUGCGGGAGGCGAACCGGGGGAACUGAAACAUCUAAGUACCCCGAGGAAAAGAAAUCAACCGAGAUUCCCCCAGUAGCGGCGAGCGAACGGGGACCAGCCCUUAAGCAUGUGACUGGUUAGACGAACGAGCUGGGAAGCUCGACGACACAGGGUGAUAGUCCCGUAGUCGAAAACCUGAUCAUGUGAAAUCGAGUAGGUCGGGGCACGUGAAACCUUGACUGAAGACGGGGGGACCAUCCUCCAAGGCUAAAUACUCCUGGCUGACCGAUAGUGAACCAGUACCGUGAGGGAAAGGCGAAAAGAACCCCGGAGAGGGGAGUGAAAUAGAUCCUGAAACCGUAUGCGUACAAGCAGUGGGAGCCCCUUCGUGGGGUGACCGCGUACCUUUUGUAUAAUGGGUCAGCGACUUAUUUUCAGUGGCGAGCUUAACCGUAUAGGGGAGGCGUAGGGAAACCGAGUCUUAACUGGGCGACCAGUCGCUGGAAAUAGACCCGAAACCGGGCGAUCUAUCCAUGAGCAGGUUGAAGGUUGAGUAACAUCAACUGGAGGACCGAACCAGGAUCUGUUGAAAAAGAUUUGGAUGACUUGUGGAUCGGAGUGAAAGGCUAAUCAAGCCCGGAGAUAGCUGGUUCUCCUCGAAAGCUAUUUAGGUAGCGCCUCACGUAUCACCGCCGGGGGUAGAGCACUGUUUCGGCUAGGGGGUCAUCCCGACUUACCAACCCGAGGCAAACUCCGAAUACCGGUGAGUGGCAGCGUGGGAGACACACAGCGGGUGCUAACGUCCGUUGUGAAAAGGGAAACAACCCAGACCGUCAGCUAAGGUCCCGAAAUCCUGGUUAAGUGGGAAACGAUGUGGGAAGGCUCAGACAGCUAGGAGGUUGGCUUAGAAGCAGCCAUCCUUUAAAGAAAGCGUAAUAGCUCACUAGUCGAGUCGGCCUGCGCGGAAGAUGUAACGGGGCUCAAACCAGGUACCGAAGCUACGGGUGCGNNNNNNNNNNNNNNNNNNNNNNNNNNNNNNNNNNNNNNNNNNNNNNNNNNNNNNNNNNNNNNNNNNNNNNNNNNNNNNNNNNNNNNNNNNNNNNNNUGCUGUGGGACCGUACCCCAAACCGACACAGGUGGUCAGGUAGAGAAUACCAAGGCGCUUGAGAGAACUCGGGUGAAGGAACUAGGCAAAAUGGUGCCGUAACUUCGGGAGAAGGCACGCCGCAUUAGGGUGAAGGUCCUCGCGACCGGAGCCCGACGCGGUCGAAGAUACCAGGUGGCUGCAACUGUUUAUUAAAAACACAGUACUCUGCAAACGCGUAAGCGGACGUAUAGGGUAUGACGCCUGCCCGGUGCCGGAAGGUUAAUUGAUGGUGUUAGCUUCGGCGAAGCUCCUGAUCGAAGCCCCGGUAAACGGCGGCCGUAACUAUAACGGUCCUAAGGUAGCGAAAUUCCUUGUCGGGUAAGUUCCGACCUGCACGAAUGGCGUAAUGAUGGCCACGCUGUCUCCACCCGAGACUCAGUGAAAUUGAAAUCGCAGUGAAGAUGCUGUGUACCCGCGGCUAGACGGAAAGACCCCGUGAACCUUUACUACAGCUUCACACUGGACGCUGAUGUUGCUUGUGUAGGAUAGCUGGGAGGCUUGGAAACCCGGACGCCAGUUCGGGUGGAGCCGACCUUGAAAUACCAGCCUGGCAUCAUUGGCGUUCUAACUCAGGUCCGUGAUCCGGAUCGAGGACCGUGUGUGGUGGGUAGUUUGACUGGGGCGGUCUCCUCCCAAAGCGUAACGGAGGAGCACGAAGGUACCCUCAGCACGGUUGGAAAUCGUGCAAUGAGUGCAAGAGCAUAAGGGUGCUUAACUGCGAGACAGACACGUCGAGCAGGUACGAAAGUAGGUUCUAGUGAUCCGGUGGUUCUGUAUGGAAGGGCCAUCGCUCAACGGAUAAAAGGUACUCCGGGGAUAACAGGCUGAUACCGCCCAAGAGUUCACAUCGACGGCGGUGUUUGGCACCUCGAUGUCGGCUCAUCACAUCCUGGGGCUGAAGUCGGUCCCAAGGGUAUGGCUGUUCGCCAUUUAAAGUGGUACGCGAGCUGGGUUUAGAACGUCGUGAGACAGUUCGGUCCCUAUCUGCCGUGGGCGUUGGAGAUUUGAGAAGCGCUGCUCCUAGUACGAGAGGACCGGAGUGGACGUACCUCUGGUGUUCCGGUUGUCAUGCCAAUGGCACUGCCGGGUAGCUAAGUACGGACGGGAUAACCGCUGAAAGCAUCUAAGCGGGAAGCCCCCUUCAAGAUGAGAUCUCCCCGAGGCCUCGAGCCUCCUGAAGGACCCAGCAAGACCAGCUGGUUGAUAGGUCGGAUGUGGAAGCGCUGCAAGGCGUUGAGCUAACCGAUACUAAUUGUCCGUGAGGCUUGACCAU
rnacentral:rRNA from 1 species